CCUACGGGCGGCACCAGUGGGGAAUAUUGCACAAUGGGCGCAAGCCUGAUGCAGCCAUGCCGCGUGUGUGAAGAAGGCCUUCGGGUUGUAAAGCACUUUCAGCGGGGAGGAAGGCGAUAAGGUUAAUAACCUUGUCGAUUGACGUUACCCGCAGAAGAAGCACCGGCUAACUCCGUGCCAGCAGCCGCGGUAAUACGGAGGGUGCAAGCGUUAAUCGGAAUUACUGGGCGUAAAGCGCACGCAGGCGGUCUGUCAAGUCGGAUGUGAAAUCCCCGGGCUUAACCUGGGAACUGCAUUCGAAACUGGCAGGCUAGAGUCUUAUAGAGGGGGGUAGAAUUCCAGGAGUAGCGGUGAAAUGCGUAGAGAUCUGGAGGAAUACCGGUGGCGAAGGCGGCCCCCUGGACAAAGACUGACGCUCAGGUGCGAAAGCGUGGGGAGCAAACAGGAUUAGAUACCCGGGUAGUC
rnacentral:rRNA from 1 species